rnacentral:sRNA from 1 species
CUCUACAGUGAAGCCGGGGGCUGAGGGAGAGAGGAUGCCCCCAGCCUGUUCGCUGCCACUUCCCAUGCAGGCAGGGGUCAGUGACAUGAAGCUAGGGGACCAGGGGCCACCGGAGGAGGCCGAGGACCGCUUCAGCAUGCCCCUCAUCAUCACCAUCGUCUGCAUGGCGUCAUUCCUGCUCCUCGUGGCGGCCCUCUAUGGCUGCUGCCACCAGCGCCUCUCCCAGAGGAAGGACCAGCAACGGCUAACAGAGGAGCUGCAGACAGUGGAGAAUGGUUACCAUGACAACCCAACACUGGAAGUGAUGGAGACCUCUUCUGAGAUGCAGGAGAAGAAGGUGGUCAGCCUCAACGGGGAGCUGGGGGACAGCUGGAUCGUCCCUCUGGACAACCUGACCAAGGACGACCUGGAUGAGGAGGAAGACACACACCUCUAGUCCGGUCUGCCGGUGGCCUCCAGCAGCACCACAGAGCUCCAGACCGACCACCCCAAGUGCCGUUUGGACGGGGAAGGGAAAGACUGGGGAGGGAGAGUGAACUCCGAGGGGUGUCCCCUCCCAAUCCCCCCAGGGCCUUAAUUUUUCCCUUUUCAACCUGAACAAAUCACAUUCUGUCCAGAUUCCUCUUGUAAAAUAACCCACUAGUGCCUGAGCUCAGUGCUGCUGGAUGAUGAGGGAGAUCAAGAAAAAGCCACGUAAGGGACUUUAUAGAUGAACUAGUGGAAUCCCUUCAUUCUGCAGUGAGAUUGCCGAGACCUGAAGAGGGUAAGUGACUUGCCCAAGGUCAGAGCCACUUGGU